GAUGAAGACGCAGCGAAAUGCGAUAAGUAGUGUGAAUUGCAGAAUUCCGUGAAUCAUCGAAUCUUUGAACGCACAUUGCGCCUUCUGGUAUUCCGGAAGGCAUGCCUGUUCGAGAGUCAUUAACAACCGUUUCGAUCCCUUUCUUUCAGAAAUUACAAAGAGGAAAAGGGUUUGGUUAUGGUGGAGGAGGGAAAGGGAGCGUUUAGCCUGUAAAAAAAGAGGCUGUGUUCCGCCUCCCCCCCAAAAUUGUACAGGCGGUCGUGUGCGCCCACGCAUCGAGGUGUUGUAAAAGCUGCCACGGCACUUUUCACCUGUGCAGUGCGAGAUUGGCCAGCCGGUUUAAAAACCCCUCCAAACAAUCAAAGGUUGACCUCGGAUCAGGUAGGGAUACCCGCUGAACUUAAGCAUAUCAAUAAGCGGAGGA
rnacentral:misc_RNA from 1 species